rnacentral:rRNA from 1 species
UGAAUACGAGGCACUAAGGUGCUGAAGUAGUGUAUGUCAUACUUCCAAGAAAAGCUUGCACUAUCGUAAGAUAGAAAUGCCUGUACCAUAACCGACACAGGUGGGUAGGUAGAGUAUACUAAGGGGCGCGAGAUAACUCUCUCUAAGGAACUCGGCAAAAUAACUCCGUAACUUCGGGAGAAGGAGUGCCUUAUUCUAUAAGGUUGCAAUAACAAGAUCCAAGCAACUGUUUAUCAAAAACACAGGUCUCCGCUAAGUCGUAAGACGAUGUAUGGGGGCUGACGCCUGCCCAGUGCCAGAAGUUAAAGAAGUCGGUUAGCAAUUGCGAAGCUGGUAACUGAAGCCCUGGUGAACGGCGGCCGUAACAAUAACGGUCCUAAGGUAGCGAAAUUCCUUGUCGGGUAAGUUCCGACCCGCACGAAAGGCGUAAUGAUUUGGAUACUGUCUCGGAGAGGGACUCGGUGAAAUAGACUUGUCUGUGAAGAUGCGGACUACCUGCACCAGGACAGAAAGACCCUAUGAAGCUUUACUGUAACUUGAAAUUGAAAUUGGACUUUAUUCGCGCAGUAUAGGUGGGAGGCGUUGAUUAUAAUCUUGUGGGAUUAUUGGAGCCAUUAGUGAGAUACCACUCUUGUAAUGUUAGAUUUCUAACUUUGAAUCAUGAUCUGGUCAAAGAACAGUUUCAGGCGGGCAGUUUGACUGGGGCGGUCGCCUCCUAAAUGGUAACGGAGGCGUACAAAGGUUUCCUCUGAACGGGUAGAAAUCGUAUCUAGAGUGUAAAGGCAUAAGGAAGCUUGACUGUGAGACCUACAAGUCGAGCAGGGACGAAAGUCGGUCUUAGUGAUCUGACGGUACUGAGUGGAAAGGCCGUCACUCAACGGAUAAAAGUUACUCUAGGAUAACAGGCUGAUCUCCCCCAAGAGUUCACAUCGACGGGGAGGUUUGGCACCUCGAUGUCGGCUCAUCGCAUCCUGGGACGGUAGUACGUCCCAAGGGUUGAGCUGUUCGCCCGUGAAAGCGGUACGCGAGCUGGGUUCAGAACGUCGUGAGACAGUUCGGUCCAUAUCCGGUGUAGGCGUAGAAUAUUGAGAGGAGCCUUCUUUAGUACGAGAGGACCGAGAAGGACAUACCUCUGGUGUACCAGUUAUCGUGCCAACGGUAAACGCUGGGUAGCUAUGUAUGGAGUGGAUAACCGCUGAAAGCAUCUAAGUGGGAAGCCCACCUCAAGAUAAGUAUUCUCAAU